UACAGGGGGUGCAAGCGUUAAUCGGAAUUACUGGGCGUAAAGCGUGCGUAGACGGUUACAUAAGUCGGGUGUGAAAGCCCCGGGCUCAACCUGGGAAUUGCAUUCGAGACUGCGUAGCUAGGGUGCGGAAGAGGGAAGCGGAAUUUCCGGUGUAGCGGUGAAAUGCGUAGAUAUCGGAAGGAACACCAGUGGCGAAAGCGGCUUCCUGGUCCAGCACCGACGUUCAGGCACGAAAGCGUGGGGAGCAAACAGG
rnacentral:rRNA from 1 species